GCAUUGCUGACGAGUUCAAAACAGGACGAAACAGCUGUCCAGUGC
rfam:Echinostoma caproni strain Egypt genome assembly, scaffold: ECPE_scaffold0016206